rnacentral:misc_RNA from 1 species
AAGAAUCUGUAUACAAACAAGUAGAGCUAACAAAUUAAAUUAUUCGCAAGAAGGCAAGGUCUUGUCAUCUUCUUUGCCCGUAGAAAAUUCUGUAUACAAGUAUGAACCUUUUUAUUUUCCAAUAUCAAUGGAACAAUAAUGAUCAAGUUGAUGUGUGUUGUUACAACAACUCGUACAAGGAAAUUAAGGUUUGGUUGAAAAAUAUCCUUGAACCUGAAUCCAAUUCUGUAAUCAACUGCUGCUAAUGGGCAUUAGUCUUCCUCAUCCACUUCAUGAA